UCCUCUCAGCCUGUUUGCAAUGGCACUGCAUGAAUUCACGGAUGCAUUGCGACAGACCGCGGAUCAUGCGGUACCAUAGCUGACAGUGAGUGGUCUCU
rnacentral:pre_miRNA from 13 species